rnacentral:rRNA from 1 species
GAUGAACGCUGGCGGCGUGCCUAAUACAUGCCAGUCGAGCGAACGGACGAUAAGCUUGCUUCUCUGAUGUUAGCGGCGGACGUGUGAGUAACACGUGUAUAACCUACCUAUAUGACUGGGAUAACUUCGGGAAUCCGGAUCUAAUACCGGAUAAUAUUUUGAACCGCAUGGUUCAAUAGUGAAAUACGGUCUUUCUGUCUCUUAUAGAUGGUUCCUCGCUGCAUUAGCUAGUUGGUAAGGUAACGGCUUACCACGGCAACGAUGCAUAGCCGACGUGAGAGGGGGAGAGGCGACACGGGAAGGGAGACACGGACAAGAGGACUACGGGAGGCAGCAGAAGGGAAGAGUAGGCAAUGGGGGAAAGCAUGACGGAGCAAGGCGGCGUGAGAGAUGAAGGUGUUGGGAGCGGAAAACUCUGUUAUGAGGGAAGAACAGAUGUGGAAGUAAAUGAGGAGAGAGUGACGGUAACGAAUCAGAAAGCAACGGCUAACUACGUG